AGUAAAAGUCGUAACAAGGUUUCCGUAGGUGAACCUGGGGAAGGAUCAUUAAAGAGUAAGGGUGCUCAGCGCCCGACCUCCACCCCUUUGUUGUUAAAACUACCUUGUUGCUUUGGCGGGACCGCUCGGUCUCGAGCCGCUGGGGAUUCGUCCCAGGCGAGCGCCCGCCAGAGUUAAACCAAACUCUUGUUAUUUAACCGGUCGUCUGAGUUAAAAUUUUGAAUAAAUCAAAACUUUCAACAACGGAUCUCUUGGUUCUCGCAUCGAUGAAGAACGCAGCGAAAUGCGAUAAGUAAUGUGAAUUGCAGAAUUCAGUGAAUCAUCGAAUCUUUGAACGCACAUUGCGCCCCUUGGUAUUCCGAGGGGCAUGCCUGUUCGAGCGUCAUUACACCACUCAAGCUAUGCUUGGUAUUGGGUGCCGUCCUUAGUUGGGCGCGCCUUAAAGACCUCGGCGAGGCCUCACCGGCUUUAGGCGUAGUAGAAUUUAUUCGAACGUCUGUCAAAGGAGAGGACUUCUGCCGACUGAAACCUUUUAUUUUUCUAGGUUGACCUCGGAUCAGGUAGGGAUACCCGCUGAACUUAAGCAUAUCAAUAAGCGGAGGAAAAGAAACCAACAGGGAUUGCCCCAGUAACG
rnacentral:rRNA from 1 species